rnacentral:rRNA from 1 species
UACGAGGGGUGCAAGCGUUAAUCGGAAUUACUGGGCGUAAAGCGCGCGUAGGCGGCUGAGUAAGUCGAUUGUGAAAUCCCCGGGCUCAACCUGGGAAUUGCAGUCGAGACUGCUCGGCUAGAGUGUGGGAGAGGGGUGUAGAAUUCCCGGUGUAGUGGUGGAAUGCGUAGAUAUCGGGGGGAAUACCAGUGGCGAAAGCGGCACCCUAGCGUUAGCCUGACGCUCAUGUGCGAAAGCGUGGGGAGCGAACGGG